rnacentral:miRNA from 1 species
UCUUGCCAUGUGAACUUCUGAAGUUUUUUCUCUACAAAUUGUGUAGGGAUGUGUAUGUGUAUGUGUGUGUGUGUGUGUAUGCACACAGAUCAUAACAAAAGAUAUAUAUAUAUAUAUAUA